CCCAGCAUGUGAAGACUGUUUCAGCGAAACAGGCAGAAGAAACCAACAAGAAGGUUCAACGGCCGAGAUGGCGAUACAGCAAGGCACUGUGGAGUGCUUAGGGCGUGUUGGAGUACAAAGGACAACACGGCCAUCCAAUGCAGCUGAGGAAGUCUCCAGGUGUAAUGACGUUUCGUGCCAAUGGACCCAGGUUUCCAACGCCGAGAGAGUGGGACUGUCACUGUGCUUCGACUUUUCCACUUAAAUGUUCAUUCAAAGGUGUCUUUGUGCACAAAAACGCACAAAGACAAUCGUCAUCCUCGGUUCGAGAGACAACCAACAUGACUCAUGUACUGCUGAAAAGAAGACUUCUCUUGGGUCUUGUGAGAGAAUGAUUAACAGAAUGUGAGACUCAGAAUCUUCUUGAGCCUGGUUGAGUCAGAACUCCUAGGAACAGUUCACCAACUGUCACUCUGAACCUGGGAGGUGAAGAAGGAAAGGUGUGUGGCUGAGACAUCUUGAAACCCAUCAAUCAAGCUACUGGGCUUUUGAAUAUCUACUGGCUGUGGUGAGACAUUAUCUUCAGUCUUUUGCUGGACAAUGACUGGAGAGCUGACCUACCUACUUUGAUGAGAACAUCUGUGGACAUCACACCUGGGACUCCAGUAUCUGACUUACCAAGGAACCUCUAUUUGUGCAAUUUUGACUCCCUGUUGGACUUGCCCUUAGGAACUUAGGUUUUAGUUCAGUGUGAAUUAGAUAGUGUUGAUUAAGUGGGUAAACAUUUAGCUUUCACCCUCCCCCACUCUCCUUCCCUUCAUGCCCUCUCUGUUAAAUAAAUUCAAUAAUUUUAUAUGUCCUGUUUUCGCA
rnacentral:lncRNA from 1 species